GUAUGUUUGAUGUUCUAACGCAGGGCCCUGAAUCGGGCUCGCGGACAGUGCCUGGUGGGUAGUUUGACUGGGGCGGUCUCCUCCCAAAGAGUAACGGAGGAGCACGAAGGUUGGCUAAUCCUGGUCGGACAUCAGGAGGUUAGUGCAAUGGCAUAAGCCAGCUUAACUGCGAGACGGACAGGUCGAGCAGGUACGAAAGUAGGUCAUAGUGAUCCGGUGGUUCUGAAUGGAAGGGCCAUCGCUCAACGGAUAAAAGGUACUCCGGGGAUAACAGGCUGAUACCGCCCAAGAGUUCAUAUCGACGGCGGUGUUUGGCACCUCGAUGUCGGCUCAUCACAUCCUGGGGCUGAAGUCGGUCCCAAGGGUAUGGCUGUUCGCCAUUUAAAGUGGUACGCGAGCUGGGUUCAGAACGUCGUGAGACAGUUCGGUCCCUAUCUGCCGUGGGCGUUGGAUGAUUGAAGGGAGUUGCUCCUAGUACGAGAGGACCGGAGUGAACGAACCUCUGGUGUUCGGGUUGUCACGCCAGUGGCACUGCCCGGUAGCUAAGUUCGGAAUCGAUAACCGCUGAAAGCAUCUAAGCGGGAAGCGAGCCCUGAGAUGAGUCAUCCCUGACCCCUUGAGGGUCCUAAAGGGCCGUUGGAGACCACAACGUUGAUAGG
rnacentral:rRNA from 1 species